CUUGAUUUGUUAUAAGAGGUCCAGCCUGCCCAGUGACCAUGUUCAACGGCCGCGGUAUCCUAACCGUGCGAAGGUAGCGUAAUCACUUGUUCUUUAAAUGUGGACUAGUAUGAACGGCAUCACGAAGGUUAUACUGUCUCCUUUUUCUAAUCAGUGAAACUAAUCUCCCCGUGAAGAAGCGUGGAUAAAAUUAUAAGACGAGAAGACCCUAUGGAGCUUUAAACAACACAGCACUUACCUGAGAACCUUGAAUGUUUCUGUAACACUAACUCUUAGAGUAAGAUGACUGCAAGUUUUUGGUUGGGGUGACCACGGAGUAUAUCAUAACCUCCAUGUUGAAAGAAUUUCUCUAAGCCAAGAACAACCUAUCUAAGCAUUAAUAAAUUAACAUCUAUUGACCCAAUAAAUUUGACCAACGAAC
rnacentral:rRNA from 1 species